rnacentral:rRNA from 1 species
UACGUAGGGUGCAAGCGUUAAUCGGAAUUACUGGGCGUAGAGCGUGCGCAGGCGGUUUUGUAAGUUUGUCGUGAAAGCCCCGGGCUCAACCUGGGAAUGGCGAUGAAGACUGCAAGGCUUGAAUCUGGCAGAGGGGGGUAGAAUUCCACGUGUAGCAGUGAAAUGCGUAGAGAUGUGGAGGAACACCGAUGGCGAAGGCAGCCCCCUGGGUCAAGAUUGACGCUCAUGCACGAAAGCGUGGGGAGCAAACAGG